UUGAGUCCCAAAAGCAGUGUGCGUGCGUGUGUGUGUGUGUGUGUGUGUGUGUGGGGGUGUGUGUGUGUGCAGCAGCUUCCAAAGGGCAGCAGCCAAUGGGGGGGGGUGAAGGAGAAGGGGGGAGCUUGGAGCAAGCAGCACUCCUUGGACUCUGGGGGUGCACAUGGCUUGGCUCUAUUCUGUCCUGUAAGAUGGUAACGGACACCCCGAAAGGUCCUGCUUCUGGAAGAAUCAGGAUCUGGGGUGGGAGUGACCUUCCCGUACGUCCCUCUCUACUCUCCUGCAUUCCUUUAGUUCUUAGCAAACACCCCGAAUCCCAAGGGGCCAUCCCCAACCAGCCCCCUAUUUGGAGACAGAUUAAAGCCCACCUUUCCCCAGGAACACCCCAGGUCGAAGGGGCAGUGUGUGCCCAUCUUCAUCCCUUGACUCUCAGUCCCAACCCCACCGUGCCAGCACCCACGCAGGGCACACAUACCCCCGUGGCACAGACCCACACAUGAAGCGGCUCCCCGGGACGGCCCUGCCGUGGGCGCGGUGCGAUGCGAGCGUGUCCCCCUCGCUCCCUGGACACCUGGGGGACACCAAGGAUGCAAUAUUUAUGGAUUGCUGCAUGAUUCAAGUGAAUAAAACUGUUUACAAGAGGA